GGGCAGCCGCCGCGGUAAUACGAAGGGGGCUAGCGUUGUUCGGAAUAACUGGGCGUAAAGCGCACGUAGGCGGAUUGUUAAGUGAGGGGUGAAAUCCCAGGGCUCAACCCUGGAACUGCCUUUCAUACUGGCAAUCUUGAGUUCGAGAGAGGUGAGUGGAAUUCCGAGUGUAGAGGUGAAAUUCGUAGAUAUUCGGAGGAACACCAGUGGCGAAGGCGGCUCACCGGCUCGAAACUGACGCUGAGGUGCGAAAGCGUGGGGGGCAAACAGGAUUAGAUA
rnacentral:rRNA from 1 species